rnacentral:rRNA from 1 species
GAUGAACGCUGGCGGCGUGCUUAACACAUGCAAGUCGAACGAUGAAGCCCAGCUUGCUGGGUGGAUUAGUGGCGAACGGGUGAGUAACACGUGAGUAACCUGCCCUUAACUCUGGGAUAAGCCUGGGAAACUGGGUCUAAUACCGGAUAGGAGCGUCCACCGCAUGGUGGGUGUUGGAAAGAUUUAUCGGUUUUGGAUGGACUCGCGGCCUAUCAGCUUGUUGGUGAGGUAAUGGCUCACCAAGGCGACGACGGGUAGCCGGCCUGAGAGGGUGACCGGCCACACUGGGACUGAGACACGUCCCAGACUCCUACGGGAGGCAGCAGUGGGGAAUAUUGCACAAUGGGCGCAAGCCUGAUGCAGCGACGCCGCGUGAGGGAUGACGGCCUUCGGGUUGUAAACCUCUUUCAGUAGGGAAGAAGCGAAAGUGACGGUACCUGCAGAAGAAGCACCGGCUAACUACGUG